ACGAAGGGGGCUAGCGUUGCUCGGAAUUACUGGGCGUAAAGCGCACGUAGGCGGUUUUGUAAGUCAGUGGUGAAAGCCCAUCGCUCAACGGUGGAACGGCCAUUGAUACUGCAAGACUUGAAUUAUUAGGAAGUAACUAGAAUAUGUAGUGUAGCGGUGAAAUGCUUAGAGAUUACAUGGAAUACCAAUUGCGAAGGCAGGUUACUACUAAUGGAUUGACGCUGAUGGACGAAAGCGUGGGGAGCGAACAGGA
rnacentral:rRNA from 1 species